CAGUCGCCACGGUAAUACAAAGGGGGCUAGCGUUGUUCGGAUUUACUGGGCGUAAAGGGCGCGUAGGCGGACUGAUAAGUCAGGGGUGAAAUCCCAAGGCUCAACCUUGGAACUGCCUUUGAUACUGUUUGUCUUGAGUUCGAGAGAGGUAAGUGGAACUGCGAGUGUAGAGGUGAAAUUCGUAGAUAUUCGCAAGAACACCAGAGGCGAAGGCGGCUUACUGGCUCGAAACUGACGCUGAGGCGCGAAAGCGUGGGGAGCAAACAGGAUUAGAGACCCCAGUAGUCCCUGUCUCUUAUAC
rnacentral:rRNA from 1 species